UCAAACACUGGUUCUCGUUUGAUCACCAAUGUUAAGCAGUGUCUAGCUCGGUCAGUACUUAGAUGAGGGACCGCUUGGGAACACCGGUUACUGUAA